GAAUGCCGGUAUGAGUAGCGAAAGAAGGGUGAGAAUCCCUUCCACCGAAUAUCUAAGGUUUCCUGAGGAAGGCUCGUCCGCUCAGGGUUAGUCGGGACCUAAGCCGAGGCCGAUAGGCGUAGGCGAUGGACAACAGGUAGAGAUUCCUGUACCAGUGCUAAUUGUUUAACCGAUGGGGUGACACAGAAGGAUAGGGAAUCGCACGAAUGGAAAUGUGCGUCCAAGCAGUGAGUGUGAGAAGUAGGCAAAUCCGCUUCUCGCGAAGCAUGAGCUGUGAUGGGGAAGGAAAUUAAGUACGGAAGUUCCUGAUUUCACGCUGUCAAGAAAAGCCUCUAGGAAGAGUAGUACUGCCCGUACCGCAAACCGACACAGGUAGAUGAGGAGAGAAUCCUAAGGUGAGCGAGAGAACUCUCGUUAAGGAACUCGGCAAAAUGACCCCGUAACUUCGGGAGAAGGGGUGCUCUAUUAGGGUGCAAGCCCGAGAGAGCCGCAGUGAAUAGGCCCAGGCGACUGUUUAGCAAAAGCACAGGUCUCUGCAAAACCGUAAGGUGACGUAU
rnacentral:rRNA from 1 species